GCAGAUGUAGCUCAAUGGCAGAGCACUCGCUUCCCAAGCCAGUAACGCGGGUUCGAUUCCCGUCAUCUGCUCCA
rnacentral:tRNA from 1 species